UCCAGGUGGUAGAAAACUACUCUGUCUUGUUCCUAAUCCUGCAAAUAGAAGUGUAGAUAUGGACACCAUGCGGCCAUAAGAGUUUGACCAGCACAUCUGUUCGCAGGUGUGGGCAAUAUUUCAAGACAGGUGCGGAGACCACCACCCUUUUCAUUCCCAACCAUGUGAGCCAUCUCCUUCCAUUUGAAACUGCGUUCGGUUCAUGUGGCAGUCACAGCAGGCGCUUUCAUGGGCGAGAACCAGCUUUUACACUGGUAUUGCACGAUCAUCUGCAGUGGAGUUACUCCUGAUUUACACCAGGCUAAGGGCAUGUCUACACUGGCAGAGUUACAGUGCCGCUCAGAGAGCGCUGAAGGGAAACCGCUGUUGUGUGUUCACAGUGUCAGCUGCCUGUGCAAUAGCGUGUUCACACUUGCGGCACUUGGAGCAGUGCACUCUGGGCAGCUAUCCCACAGAGCAUCUCUUCCUCUUCUGCCACUAAGAGCUGUGGGAAGACGGAGGGUGUCGUGGGGCACCCUGGGUCCUGUUGCAAUGCUCCGUGAUGCAUUGGUUUGCAUCCCACCAAGUCCUGUGCUUCCAUCUCCAUUUGGUGACAUCUUUCAAUGGUUUGUGUACUGCAUGCUCUGCCUCUUUGGUCUGCAGGAAUGGAUCUCGCACUGUUGACCAAUAUGAUGCUCGCUCUCACUAACACGUCACGAGUGGCAGUGGGCAUUAUUCCUUAAACUACAAAGGCAAGAGGAGUUCGACACUGAUCUCGCCACCCAUAGUAGUUACGACAUGAUAUUGCUCUGUGGCAUUCACAGAGGUGCUGACCACAGUGGAACGCCGCUUUUGGGCUCGGGAAACAGGCACUGAGUGGUGGGAUCACAUCAUGAUGCAUGCCUGGGAUGAUGAGCAGUGGCUGCAGAACUUUCGGAUGAGGAAAGCCACAUUCAUGAGACUGUGUGAUGAACUUGCCCCAGCCCUGCGGCGCAAGGACACGAGAAUGAGAGCUGCCCUGUUGUUGGAGAAGUGUGUGGCGAUUGCACUGUGGAAAACUGGCUACUCCAGACUGCUACCGAUUGGUCGCUAACCAGUUCGGCGUGGGAAAGUUGACCGUUGGACUCGUGUUGACAGAAGUGUGCAGGGCCAUUAAUCCAAUCGUGCUCCGAAAGGCCGUGACUCUGGGCAACGUGCGUGACAUUGUGGAUGGCUUUGCACAAAAAUGGGCUUCCCUGACUGCAGAGGGGUGACAGAUGGCACGCAUAUUCCAAAUCUGGCACCAGACCACCUAGCCACCCAGUACAUUAAUCAGAGGGGGUAUUUCUCUAUGGUUCUCCAGGCACCUGUGGAUCACCGUGGGCAUUUCACGGACAUUAACGCAGGCUGGUCUGGAAAGGUGCUUGGCACACGCAUCUUUCAGAACACUGGCCCGUUCAGGAAGCUGCAAGCAGGGACUUUCUUCCCGGACCAGAAGAUCACCGUAGGGGAACUCGAAAUGCCCUUUGUGAUCCUGGGACACCCUGCCUACCCCUUAAUGCCGUGGCUUAUGAAGCCAUACAUGAGGCACCUUGACAGCAGUAAGGAGCAGUUCAGCAACAGGCUGGGCAAGUGCAGAAUGACUGUUGAGUGUGUAUUUGGUCAUUUAAAAGCCCGCUGGUGCUGCCUAUAUGGGAGGCUGGACCUGGCCGAUGACAAUAUUCCUAUGCUUAUAGCCACGUGCUGUACGCUCCAUAAUAUUUGUGAAGGGAAGGGUGAAAGCUUCACUCAGGUUUGGAACACUGAGGCUUAGCGCCUGGAAGCUGAAUUUGAACAGCCAGAGACCAGGACUAUUAGAGGGCCACAGCGCGGGGCCAUAAGGAUCAGAGAUGCCUCGAGAUAGCAAUCUGAAGCUGAAAGCCAGUCAUAUUUGUUGCUAUGCUCGGGAGUGCAGUACUUGUAAUGCUAGGAGGUGAUUGUGAUUGGUACAGAUGAUGCACUGUGAAGGUGUAAGAAAACUGGCUGUUGCUUUGAAGGGCUCUGUUUGCUUUCA